GGGCGCCUACGGGGGGCAGCAGUGAGGAAUAUUGGUCAAUGGGCUUACGCCUGAACCAGCCAAGUCGCGUGAGGGAAGACUGCCCUAUGGGUUGUAAACCUCUUUUGUCAGGGAGCAAUUGGCGCUACGUGUAGCGUUAUCGAGAGUACCUGAAGAAAAAGCAUCGGCUAACUCCGUGCCAGCAGCCGCGGUAAUACGGAGGAUGCGAGCGUUAUCCGGAUUUAUUGGGUUUAAAGGGUGGGUAGGCGGUCCGGAAAGUCAGCGGUAAAAGCCCGGGGCUCAACCCCGGCGAGCCGUUGAAACUG
rnacentral:rRNA from 1 species